GUGGGGAAUAUUGCACAAUGGGCGCAAGCCUGAUGCAGCCAUGCCGCGUGUAUGAAGAAGGCCUUCGGGUUGUAAAGUACUUUCAGCGAGGAGGAAGGUGUUGUGGUUAAUAACCGCAGCAAUUGACGUUACUCGCAGAAGAAGCACCGGCUAACUCCGUGCCAGCAGCCGCGGUAAUACGGAGGGUGCAAGCGUUAAUCGGAAUUACUGGGCGUAAAGCGCACGCAGGCGGUCUGUCAAGUCGGAUGUGAAAUCCCCGGGCUCAACCUGGGAACUGCAUCCGAAACUGGCAGGCUAGAGUCUUGUAGAGGGGGGUAGAAUUCCAGGUGUAGCGGUGAAAUGCGUAGAGAUCUGGAGGAAUACCGGUGGCGAAGGCGGCCCCCUGGACAAAGACUGACGCUCAGGUGCGAAAGCGUGGGGAGCAAACAGGAUUAGAUACCCUUGUAGUCC
rnacentral:rRNA from 1 species